UGAGAGAUCAGACUGUGGCCACAUGAGGUC
rnacentral:piRNA from 1 species